ACGCUGCGGCGUGCUUAACACAUGCAAGUCGAGCGGAAAGGCUCCUUCGGGGGUACUCGAGCGGCGAACGGGUGAGUAACACGUGAGUAAUCUGCCCUCCACUCUGGGAUAACGUUCAGAAAUGGGUGCUAAUACCGGAUGUACACAGGCUGACGCAUGUUGGUGUGUGGAAAGGGUUUUCUGGUGGGGGAUGUGCUCGCGGCCUAUCAGCUUGUUGGUGGGGUAAUGGCCUACCAAGGCUUUGACGGGUAGCCGGCCUGAGAGGGUGACCGGCCACACUGGGACUGAGACACGGCCCAGACUCCUACGGGAGGCAGCAGUGGGGAAUAUUGGACAAUGGGCGGAAGCCUGAUCCAGCAACGCCGCGUGAGGGAUGACGGCCUUCGGGUUGUAAACCUCUUUCACCAUUGACGAAGCUGCAUCUUUUUGGGUGUGGUGACGGCAGGUGGGGAAGAAGCACCGGCCAACUACGUGCCAGCAGCCGCGGUAAUACGUAGGGUGCGAGCGUUGUCCGGAAUUAUUGGGCGUAAAGGGCUCGUAGGCGGUUUGUCGCGUCGGGAGUGAAAACCUUGGGCUUAACUCAGGGCUUGCUUUCGAUACGGGCAGACUAGAGGUAUGCAGGGGAGAACGGAAUUCCUGGUGUAGCGGUGAAAUGCGCAGAUAUCAGGAGGAACACCGGUGGCGAAGGCGGUUCUCUGGGCAUGAUCUGACGCUGAGGAGCGAAAGUGUGGGGAGCGAACAGGAUUAGAUACCCUGGUAGUCCACACCGUAAACGUUGGGCGCUAGGUGUGGGAUCCAUUCCACGGGUUCCGUGCCGCAGCUAACGCAUUAAGCGCCCCGCCUGGGGAGUACGGCCGCAAGGCUAAA
rnacentral:rRNA from 1 species